UACGUAGGGUGCAAGCGUUAAUCGGAAUUACUGGGCGUAAAGCGUGCGCAGGCGGUUUUGUAAGUCUGUCGUGAAAUCCCCGGGCUCAACCUGGGAAUUGCGAUGGAGACUGCAAGGCUAGAAUCUGGCAGAGGGGGGGUAGAAUUCCACGUGUAGCAGUGAAAUGCGUAGAGAUGUGGAGGAACACCGAUGGCGAAGGCAGCCCCCUGGGUCAAGAUUGA
rnacentral:rRNA from 1 species